CGUGGGGAGGGAGUGAGCGGGGCGGUGUCUGUAAAUAGCAGGGAGGGGUGAAAGAGAGUUAAGGGUGUAAAGUGACACGGCCGGGCUCGAGCAGGGACACGGCACUAAAAGGAGAGGCUGCCGUGCAGGCCGGCGGCUGAGAACAAUGACAGCAGUGGACCCUGCGAGCGCCCCUGGCUCCGCCCACCUGAGCGCCUCGCGCUCCCAUGGGCCGCAGACUCAAAGCUUCCACCAAUCCCGGCCCGCCUUGCUCCGCUCUGGCCAAUCACAGCCGCCCUUUGAAUCCGGGCACGGUCCCGCCAAUCUCAGCUCACUCAGUCGCGGCCCAGCGCCUCAGGCAGCCCGGCCCCGCUCCCCCGUUCUGCUGAGGCGCCGCUCCAGCCGCUGUCGCUCUGGGAGCUGGCGGAGCCGUGCUGCCGCAGCCCCGGCAGCCCCGGGCUGCAGUGAGAAGCAGGAGCAGCUUUCAGCCACCGGCAGUGGGAAGCUGAGGAGCUGGAACUGAGGAAGCAGAGCUGGAGGAGACACAAAUAUGGGCCAAAUACAAGUGACAAAAUAACAUUGGCAUGCAUCUCCUGGAGGAGAGGAGUUUCUGGUGGGCUCCCAGUGGCAUCUCAUGGAGUGACGGUGAGAGCAUCUCAUAGGGUCUGGGGGAGCACCUGGAUGCACUUGGACCCGGAGCACCGCUUAAAGGAGGUGGUGAGGGACAAAGCUUUUUGCCAGGAAGCAGCACUUGAACAGCUGAGCCGGUGUGGAUUUGCAGGGGUGAUCUUUCUCCUUUUCCCUUUUGAUUUCACUUUGGCAGUCCCUCCCCGGUGCCCUCAAUCUGUCACAAGAAUUCCAAGAAAAAAAAAGGCUGAGCAAACAGUGAAAAGAAGGGGUAUAGGUAAGGUGGAGUUCAGGUGUACCCCACCCCAAACCCUAAACAGCAGCCCUAACAGUACCACCAUUUACCUGAGGCAGCUGCAGGCAGGAACCCUAAAGCAGCAGAGUGCCAGAACCCCUGGUACUGCAGACAGUACCCCUGGUGCUAGGGUCAGCCAGGAGAUAGUGGGGGGACGAUCCGUAGGGUUGGGGAAACAGGGGGUUUCCCGCCCCGCCCCACCCUGGGCUCUCGGUCCCUCCGC